AGGGUUCGAUUCUGGCUCAGGAUGAACGCUAGCGACAGGCUAACACAUGCAAGUCGAGGGCAGCAUAAAAGUAGCAAUACUUGGUGGCGACCGGCGCACGGGUGAGUAACGCGUAUGCAACCUACCUAUCAGAGGGGAAUAACCCGGCGAAAGUCGGACUAAUACCGCAUAAAACAGGGGCACCGCAUGGUGAUAUUUGUUAAAGAAAUUCGCUGAUAGAUGGGCAUGCGUUCCAUUAGGUAGUUGGUGAGGUAACGGCUCACCAAGCCGACGAUGGAUAGGGGAACUGAGAGGUUGGUCCCCCACACUGGUACUGAGACACGGACCAGACUCCUACGGGAGGCAGCAGUGAGGAAUAUUGGUCAAUGGGCGGGAGCCUGAACCAGCCAAGUCGCGUGAAGGAAAGAAGGAUCUAUGGUUCGUAAACUUCUUUUGCAGGGGAAUAAAGUGCAGGACGUGUCCUGUUUUGUAUGUACCCUGAGAAUAAGGAUCGGCUAACUCCGUGCCAGCAGCAGC
rnacentral:rRNA from 1 species